rnacentral:rRNA from 1 species
UACGAAGGGGGCUAGCGUUGCUCGGAAUCACUGGGCGUAAAGCGCACGUAGGCGGCUUCUUAAGUCAGGGGUGAAAUCCUGGAGCUCAACUCCAGAACUGCCUUUGAUACUGAGGAGCUUGAGUCCGGGAGAGGUGAGUGGAACUGCGAGUGUAGAGGUGAAAUUCGUAGAUAUUCGCAAGAACACCAGUGGCGAAGGCGGCUCACUGGCCCGGUACUGACGCUGAGGUGCGAAAGCUAGGGGAGCAAACAGG